AGCAGUCGCCGCGGUAAUACCGAGGGUGCGAGCGUUAAUCGGAUUUACUGGGCGUAAAGCGUGCGUAGGCGGCUUUUUAAGUCGGAUGUGAAAUCCCUGAGCUUAACUUAGGAAUUGCAUUCGAUACUGGGAAGCUAGAGUAUGGGAGAGGAUGGUAGAAUUCCAGGUGUAGCGGUGAAAUGCGUAGAGAUCUGGAGGAAUACCGAUGGCGAAGGCAGCCAUCUGGCCUAAUACUGACGCUGAGGUACGAAAGCAUGGGGAGCAAACAGGAUUAGAUACCCCGGUAGUCCCUGUCUCUUUACA
rnacentral:rRNA from 1 species